rnacentral:rRNA from 1 species
GACGAACGCUGGCGGCGUGCUUAACACAUGCAAGUCGAACGGUAAGGCCCCAGCUUGCUGGGGUACACGAGUGGCGAACGGGUGAGUAACACGUGGGUGACCUGCCCUGCACUUCGGGAUAAGCCUGGGAAACUGGGUCUAAUACCGGAUAGGACCGCACCGUGAGGGUGUGGUGGAAAGUUUUUCGGUGUGGGAUGGGCCCGCGGCCUAUCAGCUUGUUGGUGGGGUAAUGGCCUACCAAGGCGGCGACGGGUAGCCGGCCUGAGAGGGUGGACGGCCACUUUGGUACUGAGACACGGCGCAGUCUCCUACGGGAGGCAGAAGUGGGGAAUCUUGCACAAUGAGCGGAAGCCUGAUGCAGCGACGCCGCGUGGGGGAUGACGGCCUUCGGGUUGUAAACUCCUUUCCCCAUCGACGAAGGUUUUCUGACGGUAGAUGGAGAAGAAGCACCGGCUAACUACGUG